rnacentral:rRNA from 1 species
UACGUAGGGUGCAAGCGUUAAUCGGAAUUACUGGGCGUAAAGCGUGCGCAGGCGGUUUUGUAAGUCAGAUGUGAAAUCCCCGGCUUAACCUGGGAACUGCGUUUGAAACUACAAGGCUAGAGUGUGGCAGAGGGGGGGAGGUGAAUUCCACGUGUAGCAGUGAAUGCGUAGAGAUGUGGAGGAACACCGAUGGCGAAGGCAGCCCCCCUGGGUUACACUGACGCUCAGCACGAAAGCGUGGGGGGAGCAAACAGG